ACUCCUACGGGAGGCAGCAGUGGGGAAUAUUGGACAAUGGGAACCGUAGCAUCAGCCAUGCCGCGCUGUGUGAAGAAGGCCUUCGGGUUGUAAAGCACUUUCAGUGGGAGGAAGGACUGAUGGUUAAUACCUAUCAGCUGUGACGUUACCACAGAAGAAGCACCGGCUAACUCCGUGCCAGCAGCCGCGGUAAUACGGAGGGUGCAAGCGUUAAUCGGAAUUACUGGGCGUAAAGCGUGCGCAGGCGGUCUGUUAAGCGAGAUGUGAAAGCCCGCC
rnacentral:rRNA from 1 species